AUUGAACGCUGGCGGAAUGCUUUACACAUGCAAGUCGAACGGCAGCACGGGUGCUUGCACCUGGUGGCGAGUGGCGAACGGGUGAGUAAUGCGUCGGAACGUGCCGAGUAAUGGGGGAUAACGCAGCGAAAGUUGUGCUAAUACCGCAUACGCCCUGAGGGGGAAAGUGGGGGAUCGCAAGACCUCACGUUAUUCGAGCGGCCGACGUCUGAUUAGCUAGUUGGUGGGGUAAAGGCCUACCAAGGCGACGAUCAGUAGCGGGUCUGAGAGGAUGAUCCGCCACACUGGGACUGAGACACGGACCAGACUCCUACGGGAGGCAGCAGUGGGGAAUAUUGGACAAUGGGCGCAAGCCUGAUCCAGCAAUGCCGCGUGUGAAGAAGGCCUGCGGGUUGUAAAGCACUUUCAGUGGGGAAGAACAGAUUCGGGUCAAUACCCCGGAGCCCUGACGUUACCCACAGAAGAAGCACC
rnacentral:rRNA from 1 species